AUGCCAGAGUCGCCAUGGAGCCUCUCGAGAAGAACAUCAACCGCAGAGGCGACAAUAUCAUUGUUUGAGAUGGCGGCCUAUGGCUACACCAACAAUGGCAGCUUGUUCACUGGGUACCCUGUGGUGGGGUUCCAACACCAGAUCCAAGCUUCCAGCGGAUGCAUCGGCAGCUCAAAAGACGCGCUCCUCACCUCAGGCGCAUGGGACCCGCGCAUCAAGGGAACCUUCUUCUACAGCAAUGGCUACAGCAUUGCGCUCUCUAGGGUGUCCGCGUUCAUCGCCAACAUGCAGCAGCUCCGUGACCGCAGCCCGCUGGCCUUCUGCGGAAUCGAUGCUAGUGUGGGUAUGCUCCUCCGCUACGUCAAAGCAUCCUCCGCCUACCUCGGCAAGCCAGAGGACUCGAUCGACUUUGAUAUAGCCUACUAUCGGAGUUACACCAAGGGUGAGCCCAACCCACACUCUGAUGUGUUCGAUGAGCUCGAGCAGAUGGCACUGCACAAGUAUGAUGCCAUCCCACAUUGGGGCAAGAACCGCAACUUUGCCUUUGAGGGUGCCAUUGCCAUGUACCCCAAGGCAGGUGAGUUCUUGGAGGUGAAGGACAGGUACGACCCCGACGGGAUCUUCUCCAGCGAGUGGAGCGACCAGGUGCUCGGUAUCAAUGGGAGCCCGAUCAUUGUCGAGAAGCGUUGCGCCAUCGAGGGGCUUUGCAUCUGCUCAGAAGACUCGCAUUGUGCACCGGAGGAGGGCUACUACUGCCGCCCGGGGAAGGUGUACACAGAGGCAAGGGUCUGCUCGUUCGAACCCAUCUUGCAGUGUGCACCGGAGGAGGGCUACUACUGCCACUCAGGGAAGGUGUACACGGAGGCGAGGGUCUGCUCCUUCGAACCGGCCAUCUGA
rnacentral:rRNA from 1 species